AGGCAAAUUUUAUUAAGAGAAACUGAACAUUUACAAUCUACUCUGAGGAUCAGAAUAAGUCGAAAGGAAGUACUACAAGACAAUGAAAAA